rnacentral:rRNA from 1 species
GUGGGGAAUCUUCCGCAAUGGACGAAAGUCUGACGGAGCAACGCCGCGUGAGUGAAGAAGGUUUUCGGAUCGUAAAGCUCUUUCGUUAGGGACGAACGUGCUCUUUGUGAAUAAUGAGGAGUAAUGACGGUACCUAAAUAAGAAGCCACGGCUAACUACGUGCCAGCAGCCGCGGUAAUACGUAGGUGGCAAGCGUUGUCCGGAAUUAUUGGGCGUAAAGCGCGCGCAGGCGGGAUAUCAAGUCUGUCUUAAAAGUGCGAGGCUCAACCUCGUGAGGGGACAGAAACUGGUAUUCUUGAGUGUCGGAGAGGAAAGUGGAAUUCCAAGUGUAGCGGUGAAAUGCGUAGAGAUUUGGAAGAACACCAGUGGCGAAGGCGACUUUCUGGACGAUGUCUGACGCUGAGGCGCGAAAGCUAAGGGAGCGAACGGGAUUAGAUACCCCUGUAGUCC